rfam:Stegodyphus mimosarum contig16368, whole genome shotgun sequence.
GUCUUCGUGGUGUAGUGGUCAGCACCCUUGACUCGGAUAUGAGAGGUCCGUGGUUCGAGUCCCGACGAGGGCA